CGGGUGAGUAACGCGUGGGUGACCUGCCCCAUACCGGGGGAUAACAGCUGGAAACGGCUGCUAAUACCGCAUAAGCGCACGGCAUCGCAUGAUGCAGUGUGAAAAACUCCGGUGGUAUAAGAUGGACCCGCGUUGGAUUAGCUAGUUGGUGAGGUAACGGCCCACCAAGGCGACGAUCCAUAGCCGACCUGAGAGGGUGACCGGCCACAUUGGGACUGAGACACGGCCCAA
rnacentral:rRNA from 1 species